GACGAACGCUAGCGGGAGGCCUAACACAUGCAAGUCGAGCGGUAGAGUUCAUUCGGAAACUUGAGAGAGGCGCACGGGUGAGUAACACGUGGGCAACCUACCUGUAUCUGGGGGAUAGCGUUUGGAAAGGAAGAUUAACACCACAUAAUAUAAUGAUUGGCAUCAAUUAUUAUGGAAAACGACGGUGGAUAGAGAUGGGCACGCGCACGAUUAGAUAGUUGGUGAGGGAACGGCUCACCAAGUCAAGGAUCUUUAGGGGUCCUGAGAGGGAGAUCCCCCACACUGGAACUGCCACCCGCACCACACUCCUACGGCACGCAGCCCUCUGGCAUAUUGGACCGUGGGUUAGAGCCUGAUCCAGCCAUCCCGCGUGAAGGAUGCCCGUCCUAUGGAUUGUAAACUUCUUUUGUACAGCGAUAAACCUACCCUCUGGAGGGUAGCUGAAGGUACUGUGCGAAUAAGCACCGGCUAACUCCGUG
rnacentral:rRNA from 1 species